GCCCGAUGUGGGGCUCGAACCCACAAACUGCGAGAUCACGACCUGAGCCGAAGUCAGAGGCUCGACACACUGAGCCACCCAGGCGCCCCUGUUUUUCAAACUGGACUGAAACUGCCCUCCUCGGAUUUCCUCUUGCAGGGCUCCGCAUCCGCAGUCCUUUUCUCUCGCUGGGAGCGGGUGUCACUUACCUCACGCACUUGCCCACCCAGGACAUCUGACCCAGCUUGUAUAACUGGAGCCAAAGGCCUUCCUGGCACAGAAAGGGGCCCAAAAGCUGGUUCUUAGAUACGCUCCAGCCCGGCCUGUUUAUCUCGUGAGCUUCAGAAGGCAAGCCGCCCCCGCCCGCCAUGGCUCCUUCCCCGUGUGAUUACAUCUUUCCUUGAUCCCACUGACAGAGCAUUGCUGUUGAGUUGGUGUGGAUGCUGCUGAAUGCUCACUGUCACCUUCUGUAUUCAUCUUGGGGAGCAGUAACCCAGCCUGUCGGGGCCUCCUGCACAGACCACCCUUUGAAUGGUGUUCUGAGCCUUCAGUGACGCUGGCAGCGAUGAUGCAUUACAAAACCAAACAAAUUAUUCCUCGGGACAGACGACCCGGGGGCAAAUCAACCACCACAACAGAAAAGACAAGCUUUCAAACCAAGGAGAGAAGACAAGAUUGAAACUGCCUCGAACCAUCAGCGGCUUCUACCUCUCAGUGUCCCCCAGUGCCUGGCAUUUCCACAUUUCUCGUCAUGUUCCUUCUCUUUCCAAAGUUCUUCUUCAGGAGGACUUUCAAACUGUUCCUCGGAUCAUCAGGGUACUUUGAAUGCUUUGUCACAACCCGCCCUGUGUUAUGAGAUGCUCCAUUGACACCUAUGAUUUCAAUGGCACUGAUUCCGAAAUCCAUAUUUCUACCUUGACUUUUAUCCCAAGUACUCGUCCUGCGUCUCCAAAUGCCUACUGGAAAUUCCCACUGGAUAUUCAUCAGUGACGUUAUCGUAGGACUAAAAUCGAACUCAUUAAACUUUUCGAUGCCACAGCCUGGCACAGCAGAAGAUGGGCGGAGUUCUGAAUCUUGAGAGACGAGUUCAGGCCCACACUUAACCUUUCUGAUUCAAGUCAGGCUUCCUGGAAGUUACGGAAAAUGUACUUUGGCUGAUUCAGACAGAAAAGGGAUGUGAGGAGAGACAUGUGGCAGCUUUCCCAACAGGCCGGAAGGAGGAGCCAGCCUGGGAAAGGCAGCGGGCAGUGUGGCGUUCCAGGAGCUAGCAGGUCUUAGGGAUGCGAACAGGAGCUGGAUACGGGACAGCCCCUGUCCACUCUGCCUAGCCUCGAUUUCCUUGAGCCAAGAAAAAUGGGGAUAAUUUGACCACCCACGUCAUGGGAUUGUAAGGAAGAUGGAGCUGGUAUUCCGGAAGAUUCUUUGUAGACCAUGAGCCCCUCCGCAGGUGUUAAGGUUGUUUAUACUACCAAGUGAGGUUUUUCCUUCCCAUCUCUGUUCUGUUCCUGACCCUUUUACCUCUGUGCCCACUCAGUGUCCCUCCUCCCACCCCCUCCGUCCGUGGGUGCCCCCUCCCUCUCAGCACCCCUUUUCCCACCAGCUCCUCCAGAUCCAAGCCCCAGGGUUUCUUCAUCCUUCCUUCACCUUUCUCCCACCUUUCUCUUCCCCUCACCAUUGGCACCUUAGAAUUCAGGGGCAACAAAGGAAACCAGCCUCUCCCAAGCUUGAUUACACAUUGGGCUUGCCUGGGGCAGACCUCCCAGGCCUCGUUCUUACACAAGCUUCUCAGGAGAGCGCGGCAGGAACGGGCCCGCCCCCAGGAAUCUACAAACCAAGUUUCUCGCCCAGAGCGCUAGCCCCCAGAAGAGGGUUCCGAAUUGAAGCAGGUUUGGAAAACGCCGCAUCCGUCUCCCUCUAAAAGAGUCACAAUUCAAGAGGUCCUGCAGGUAAGAUACCUGUGAAACAGUGCAAAUGUCUAAGACUACGAGGUUGCGAAGCUGUCUCGUCCUGUGAUCCUGUGAUUUAUACUAAGAGAUACAGAUUUGGUCUUGUUUCUGGCACAGAAGUUCCCCAAGCCUUGGAAUUUCCUAAAUGCUGAGAGCAACAAAGGUGUCGUUUGUUAUGUUAAGGAGGUGACUUUCGGACCCCACCUAAAGUUAGGGCUGGUUGGCAGCCUUACCCCCACCCCACCCCUGGCCACCACCGCUUUGGGUGAAGGGCCAGGAGCUGGAGAUUGAGUUCAAUCACCAAUGGCCAAUGAGUUAAUCAGCUGUGCCUGUGCAAUGAGGCCUCCAUGGAAACCCAAAAGGGGGUGAUACAGAGGGCUCCUGGGUUGGUGAACAAAUGGAGGCUGGGGGAGAGUGGUGCACUCAGAGAGCGCGGAGGCUCCUGGCCUGUGCGUCUCCUCCCUCUGGCCCGUCCUGAGUCCUAUCCUUGUAUAAUAAAUUGGUCAUCUAGUAAGUAAAAUGAUUCUGAGUUCUGUGAGCCCCUCAAGCAAAUUAACCAAACCUGAGGAGGGGGUCACGGAGCCCUCAAUUACAGCAGGCAGUCAGAAGUGUGGGUGACAACCUGGGCUUGUGACUGUCGUCGGAAGGAGGGGUGAGUGGGGGAUGUGGGGAGCAGUCUUGUAGGACUGAGCUCUUACUCUGACUCCGAUGCUAUCGGGAUAGGAAGUGUCAGAACUGAUGAGUUGGAGGGCCUGCAGCUCGAGUCCCAAGAAUUGCUUGGUGUGGCGACGCUCCCCCCAGUGGAACCUAUUUAGUCCCAUGACGUCUAUUAAAAUUCUGCAAGGAGAAUAUUCUGAGAAACACAUACAUUGGGAAACCGUGGCCUAUAGAAUAAAUUUGCCAAGGUUUUUGAC